rnacentral:lncRNA from 1 species
GAGGAAGGAGUGAUGAAUCAGGAGGAGGAAGGAGGGAUGAAUCAGGAGGAAGGAGGGAUGAAUCAGGAGGAAGAAGGGACGAAGCAGGAGGAGGAAAAGGACCAUAUUGCGUAUUCAGGUCGGGGGUACACCCACUGGGAAACUUCCUCCAAAAAAUUGGUAUGCAACUACUUCGAGCAGUACCUGCUAAGAGAUACGAGAAAGAAGUUACCUGGUAAGAGAGAGGUUCACCAGUUCUUGGCAGCAUAUCCUGAUUUCAAGAUUAGAAACUUCAAAGUCAUCAGAAGCAAGGUCAUGAAUGAAAAAUCAAAAAGAGAUCGCUUGGUAAAAAAAAUGGAAAGCAACCAGUAGGAAAUUAUUCUCUAAUGCACCGGGUGAACUUUUUCAUUCUUUAGUUUGCCACACACAGCGAUUUCUUGAUAUACAAGUAUUUCGCUUCUACCAAACUUAAAAAUGAUUGGGGCGAGCUUUCGUCUGCUCCUGCAGACUUCCUCAUGUCAACUGAUUUGUCACACAGUUGCUGUCUUGGCGAUCACUGGAGCGAAGAUAGGUGACAAUGCGUACCCAGUGUCCCUAUUGAGUGCUGGAUUAAUGCUUUUUAUCUAGAUAGACUCUUUGACCUUCCUUGGCCAGAAAUAAGAUUCAAAGUCUAUGAUCUGUGUAUCAUCCCAGCGAAUGUUAUGUCCAGUAUUGAGGGCGUGUUCCGGCCACUGCUGAGUGGGUUGGAUUGUUUAAUCUGAGGGCCCUUUUGUGUUCUUUUAAUCGGUCAUUCAGUGUUCUUCCUGUUUCACCCACAUAAGAACUUUCUGUCAGUGCACUCCAGAGCCCUUUAUACACAGAGUUUGGCCAACUUGAUAACAGGCACCAUGUUGUAACCCUUGGCGCUGAUGCACCGCACCGUGCGCACGGGCGGGCUUAUGGUAUACACACAAUAUAGCUUACACUACUAGCCCUCAAACUGAUUGAUAUUUUCUGUUGCAGAAGAGUCAUGUUAUGGGAAGUCUCAGAUUCUUGGCAUUUCUUCUCUUUCCUUCAUGUAGUAGACUAUAAUUUUAAUGAGUUUAGGCCCAAUAGGAAUAGGCCCUAGUAUUAAGCGUAACCAUCUCUCUCCUUUUCAUUAAUUUCUCGUUUUUUUUUCUAACUAUAUAUGCCUGUGUGUCUCUUUAGCUGCCCCUACAUGUAUACCUCCAUAGGGUCUUCACAUAUGAAAUUGAAGCGUUUUCAACUCCCAAUGAGUGAUUUGGAGUUUGCUGGCAUUUUAGAUUGAUCUUUCAGUAUGUUCUUCAAAUUUAUGUAUACAUACAUUGUCUGUUGUGUUUUAGCACUGCAAGAGUAUUUAUCAUGAAUUCAGGCUAACUCCGGUCUGACCAAAACAUUUUAGUAUUGAUGUGUACCAAGAGGGGAGGAGGCCCUUGAAAGGUAUAAGCCCUGAUAUGUUUGCCAGUACAUAGUUUCGGUAUGCCCCCCCCCCCUUUCCAUUGUAUGAUGUAAGAAUGAUGUCACAAAACAUGCCCAAUUACCAAAUUUUAUCCACUUGCUACAGGUGAAAAUUACAAUUUUUUUAAAAUCAUCUGUUUUUAAUAGGGCACACCAAUAUAAUGAUCAUAACUAAUAUUAAUGAUUUAUACAUGUAUAUUGAUUUAUCCAUUCGAUUAUUUAUGUUUAUGUUUCAAUCCACUAUGCAUAGUGCCACUCAAAAUAUGUAUUAAUAUACGUAUUUAAAAUAACAGCUUUUCCAUGUAAUCAAACAUACCUACUGUAUGUUUUAACAGCACUUCCAUUACCCACUUCUUCACACAUUGUUUUUUAAUUCUCCUAUACAGUGUGAGUAAAAAAAAGAAGGAAACCCAACUUCGGUAGCUUCUUAUGAUAAUAUUAUAACAUAUAUGGAACCUUGCAAUUUAUUUCAUUGUAAAGAGUAACUUUACUGUCUACUGAUACCUUAUUCAUACUUUUCCUGCCACGGAUGACUGAGCACCAGGAGUUUCAAAAAGCUUUGUCAAAAUCGCCUUGUAUCAAGUUUGGGCUUAAGCAAUACGUGUGCGUCAAAAGCUACUAUGGAUUUGUUAUUGGAGUCUUGAAAUAAUGGCUAAGCUUUUUAAAUUGAUUUUGUGUAUUUGACUAGAAAAGGUGUUGAUUUGAACUUUAAAUGAAAGAAUAUCCUUAUUACAAGCAAUAUUUAAGAUAUCUUUGUUGUCAUUAAGACACAAUCUUGGUUUCCUCAACAUUCCUCGUAUGUAAGAGUUUCUUUAUUGAGUGUGUCAGCUUCAGAAUGUUGGUAGUGAAGAAGCUUUCUUUCAAAUGAAGUAAAAACACAGUUCAAAACACUAGCAUAUGUGUUCUAAACAGGCCUUCCUUGUAUUUUUUUAGUCUUUUAGGUUAGUUAACUAUUAAUUUAAUGUAGAUUGUGAGCUAGAUAACUUAUUCAGCUAAGUUGGUGCAAUCGACCAAUAAACAGAUGGUUUUGUGGCAAGAUAACAUUCUAAGAUAAGAGGUUUGUAGGCAGUUCAAAGUGCAUCCACAGCCAAUGAAACCUAAAAUAAAAUCCCUGUGAAAGUCUAGAUACUUAAAAUCACUUAACUCUGAAUAAUUGAAACACAAAACAUAUUUUAUCAUUUAAAAACGAUUUCAGACAAAGUAACAUGUGAUUAGAAGCCUUUGACACACACCCAUUGCUUAAGGUCAAACUUGGUACAAGGCGAUUUUGACCCCCCAAAAAUUGAAAAUCUUAGUGCUCAGUCAUCCGUGACAGAAACAUCAUAAAUGAGGUAUCGGUAGACAGAGUGAAGGUUAUUCUUUACAAUUAGAUACAUCUCAAGGUUUCAUAUGUUAUAAUAUUUUUAUAAGAAGCUACUAAAGUUAGGUUCCUUUUUUUUUACUCACAGUGUAUAGGAUACACCAAUGCAUGCUCAUUAUCACUUUUGUUGUUACACUGUGUAUGUUUAUGUUUUGAUUCACUAUACAUGGUGUUAAUAAAUUUCUGAUGCAAUAUACGCAAUUUAAAGAAAACGAUCAUUGGUUUAUUGAAACUAAAAUAUUGAGUAAUUUUACUGUCCAAAACAUACAUACUGUAAGUGCUACAACAGCACACCAAUAAACCAUUAUUUCACAUACACUUUUUAUACGCCGAAGGGUCGUAUUAUGGUAUGACGUCCGUCCGUCCGUCCGUUAGCCAAUUCUUGUGUAGAUAACUCCUCAUUCAUUGUUUAACGAAAUUUCUUCAAACUUGCAUGGAUGGAUGAUAUUGAUGUGUAGAUGUGCGUAAAGAUGAUAUAACUUGGGUACGCCAAGGCGUUGCCAUGGUAACCACAUUUUACUAAAAAAUUGAAAAAUUCUUGUGCGGAUAAUUCCUCAUUUACUUUUUAAUUAAAUUUCUUCAAAUUUGCAUGGAUGGAUGAUAUUGAUGUGUAGAUGUGCAUAAAGGUGAUAUAACUUGGGUACGACAAGGCAUUGCCAUGGUAACCACAUUUUACUAAAAAAAUAUUGAAAAAUUCUUGUGUGGAUAACUCAUUUACUUUGUAAUGAAAUUUCCUCAAACUUGCAUGGUUGGAUGAUAUUGAUGUGUAGAUGUGCAUAAAGGUGAAACUUCGGGCGUAUAAUGCUCCGACUUGCGGUGCUCUUGUUUAAAGAUCUUUUUGAUAUUCUAUAUGACACACCAAUUUAAUUAUAUUACUUAUUUCGUAUAUUUUUGUUAAUUUCUUCAAUUUGAAUAUCUGUAUCUGUAAAUGCAUCGUCAUUUGGGCUUGCUGCUAUGAUUUUAUUUAUUUAUCUAUCUUUCCUUACAUGAAGAACAAGAUAUUUUUAAUUGUUUAUAACUGCAUAGCACCAAGAAAAUUAUCAAACUGGUGACUCAAUUGGAAAAUUAUUGUGGUUUGCAUCAAUUAAUGUAUUUUUGUGCAUUCAUAGAACACUUAGCAAUCCUAUGGAUAUUGAAAUUUGGUGUGUGACAGCAAAUUUUCACGUAGUUUUGGAUGCAGGUUUCUGAGACAGUAAAAUUGGGAAGUUGUAAGCAGGCCUGGUUGUAAGCAGUGUAGGUCCACAAGUACAAUCAUGGGUCUGUAAUAAACACUGUGACAAAUGAAAUGAUAUGCCUGUAUUAAUAACUGGAAUAGCGAAAAGUGACAUUUUUACUGUGGAGUCUCAUAUGUUGCUUUAGGAGUAAGGCCACCGCACACCUUACGACUGGUCUACGACUGGAUUUUGAAAGAAAUUGCAAUUUGAAGAGAAAUUGAGUUUCAAUUUGAAAAUUUGUAUCUGACUGAGGUCCAGAAUGGUUAUAUCAAUAUAAUUAUCGAAAAUAUAUGGUAUUUGAAGUAUUUCAGACAGAGAAAAGGCCAAAUCUCCCAGUUACCAGUUGGUGGCCAGUCGUGCCUGUGUGACGUCGCUACGAUUCGCAGCCGAUCGGGCCUUUUCUCCAACUGAAAAGGCCAUAACACCCUGCAAUUUUUAUAUUGAUAUUGACAUGACAAUUCGGGACCUCAAUCAGUAGGAAUUUACAUUCUAAACAUUCUAUAUCUAAUCCUAUCAUAAUUUCUUUCAAAAUCCAGUCGUAGACCAGUCGUAAGGUGUGCGGUGGCCUUUAGGGCUUGUUGGAUAGGAUGUGUAAAAUUCCUUCAGUAUUGUAAGUGUUUAUAGAUACAGCGCAACAAACCCCCACACUUAUGUUAAUGAACCUGAAUUAAAUCACAAAUAAAAGGGAUCUUUGUCAAAAAAUUUGCAGACAAACUCAUGACAUCAUUUUGCAUUUACUUUUUAGGAAUUUAUUUGUUCCAAAGCUUUUUGAAGUCAGGCGGCAACAAAUUGUCUCCUGCCUCGCCAACAUUUUUUUUUUUUUUUUUUUUGGUCGCCUUAUAUUCCAUUGACUUGUACAUUAAAAUUGUUUGGGUUUGUUGCGCCAUAUCUGAACAAACCUUGAGAUAUGAGGGCUAUGGUAAUAAACUCAACAGCAUGGAUUAGAGCAGCGGGCAGGGCGUAGAUAUGUGACGUCACACUAUUCAAGUAGAUCACCCCCCCCCCCCCUGAACAAUAGGUUCACUGCUCGAAUCUUCGCCAGUGUUAAACUGAGCAGCGCUUCUCAACCAGUGGGCCAUGAGGAUGGCCAAAACAUUGUUUUAGAAUAAAAAUGAACCAGCUUGAGUUCAGCUUUACUGUCAAAUUAAUAAGUGGCAAAGUGGGCCUUGAGUUAAGAAAGGGUGAGAAGCACGUACUGGAUUAGGGGGUUGACUCUUUGUAAUUUGAAUUUGCAACCAUGCCGAAUCACACCACCUAAGUAACAUCUUUUUCCUGCUGCUUGGGCAGGAUUGGUGCCUUCUAUGAGGUCAUAACAUUGUUAUUGUUGAAUUUCUGCGCAAAAAUAAUGUUGGAAUUCACAGUGAAUUAUUGAAAUUACAAAUUUGAAUUAGUGAUAUCACAAAUUGAAUCUGUGAUAUCACAAAACAUAAUUCUUGUUGUGAAUUGUAUUAUGUUCUGGAACAUUAAACAUACAAGACUGUUAACCUAACUAGUCAGAUUUGUCUACAUUGCAGUGAUGUGCAGUAAUGUUGGAAUUCACACUGAAUUCUUGAUAUUACAAAUUUGAAUUAGUGAUAUCACAAAACAGAAUUCUUGUUGUAAAUUGUAUUAUGUCCUGGAACAUUAAACAUACAAGACGGUUAGCCUGA